GUGAAGAACGUAGCGAAAUGCGAUAAGUAGUGUGAAUUGCAGAAUUCAGUGAAUCAUCGAAUCUUUGAACGCACAUUGCGCCCCUUGGUAUCCCGAGGGGCAUGCCUGUUCGAGCGUCAUUUCACCACUCAAGCCUGGCUUGGUGUUGGGCGACGUCCUCUUUGGGGACGCGCCUCGAAACGCUCGGCGGCGUGGCACCGGCUUUAAGCGUAGCAGAAUCUUUCGCUUUGGAAGUCGGGGCCCCGUCUGCCGGAAGACCUGCUCGCAAGGUUGACCUCGGAUCAGGCAGGGAUACCCGCUGAACUUAAGCAUAUCAAUAAGCGGAGGA
rnacentral:misc_RNA from 1 species